UACGGAGGAUGCAAGCGUUAUCCGGAAUGAUUGGGCGUAAAGCGUCCGCAGGUGGCAAUGUAAGUCUGCUGUCAAAGCGUCUGGCUCAACCAGAUAAAGGCAGUGGAAACUACAUAGCUAGAGUAAGGUAGGGGUAGAGGGAAUUCCUGGUGUAGCGGUGAAAUGCGUAGAGAUCAGGAAGAACACCCGUUGCGAAGGCGGCUCUCUGGGACGGUACUGACGCUGAGACGCGAAAGCGUGGGGAGCGAACAGG
rnacentral:rRNA from 1 species